rnacentral:rRNA from 2 species
GGACGGGUGAGUAAUGCCUAGGAAAUUGCCCUGAUGUGGGGGAUAACCAUUGGAAACGAUGGCUAAUACCGCAUGAUGCCUACGGGCCAAAGAGGGGGACCUUCGGGCCUCUCGCGUCAGGAUAUGCCUAGGUGGGAUUAGCUAGUUGGUGAGGUAAGGGCUCACCAAGGCGACGAUCCCUAGCUGGUCUGAGAGGAUGAUCAGCCACACUGGAACUGAGACACGGUCCAGACUCCUACGGGAGGCAGCAGUGGGGAAUAUUGCACAAUGGGCGCAAGCCUGAUGCAGCCAUGCCGCGUGUGUGAAGAAGGCCUUCGGGUUGUAAAGC